ensembl:lncRNA proteoglycan 4-like
CACGCACACACACACACACACACACACACACACACACACACACACACACACACACACACACACACACACACACACACACACACACACACACACACACACACACACACACACAGAAACAUGUCUUCAAUGACAAAAAAAUGUGAUUGAUUGUAGAUCAAAGCAACCUUCUUAAAGAAUAGCAACCCUCCAUUCUGCUGCUAAUCACAAACUGAUUGAUUAUGUCAGGAAACCUUCAGUGAUGUCCGAGAGGAGAUUAACAUGAGCUAAUCACAUGCUUUAACCAAAGAGCAACAAUUCAUCUGUGAGAGGGAAUACAAUCCAUCACCUAAAAACCAGUCCCGCCCACUAAGGACACACACACACAUAUAUAUAACAGGACUGUCAACAACAGUCUGUGUCAACAUUUGAACAAGAGAAGCACGUAAAACCCUCGACUUCUGUUUUUUAAAUCAAAAUUAUAUUUCUCUUGAUUUUUGGAGUUUAAAGGUUUUUUAAAUUGGAGGAACAAUGGGAAACGAGAACUCGAAAAACGAAGACCAAACCGAGGAUGUGAAUAUUUCAGAGAAGCAUCAGAACGGAUCAGUGAGCGGCAGCGUCACGCUGAACGGCGGGCCGGAAAUCGACGGUAAAGAUCCAGCUGUGGUCAAACAGAACGAAGAACCCGUGACUUUAAACCUCGCCAUCGACUCAACUGAAUGUGUGGUCAUCGACUCAGAGGCCCCGCCCAACACUGCUCCAGUCUCGUCUGAAAUCUCCGCCCCUCCUGAAACACCAGAGGUCACCAAGGAGCUCCUCGUUAGUGUCCAGGUUCCCCCACAAACCCCCGAUCCCCCCAAACAGAAGGAGGAAGUCCCAAAGAAAAAGUUUUUUGGUAAAAUGUUCAAAAAGAAAGUGGAAGCAGUAGUAGACGAGCCGAGUGUGGAGGAAACGACCAUCAGUGGAGACCAGGUGGAUGCUGGUCAGACCAUCAUUACCACACAACCAGAGGCUAGAGACCCCCACCAGGACCCCUCUCAGCCACCAACGGGACCAGUAGUCAGUGUGAUUUUUAACGGGGGUCCAGACCUUCAAAGUUCUCCUGAAGUCGACAUUGGAACCAGUGUCACAGAGGAGGGGCCGGAGAAGAGAGAGGAAGAGGAGAGAAACCAAGAGGAAAAACCACCAGUUAUGAACUUCUUUAAAUCUCUGGUGAAUAACACAAAAACAUCCAAAAAGGAAACAGCCACCCCUGAUGUAGCAAAAGAUCAGUCCCAGAAGGAGAGCCAAGCAGCACCAACAACCACCGUUGCAGAGGUAUCCGAGCCGCCCACACCACCCAAAGGAAUGUCAAUCCCUCCACCACCUCCACCAGCUCCACCAAAGCUGGAAAUCAAAGAACCAGCGGCUAAAUGUUUGAAACCAACAACCAAAGAAGAACCAACUGCUGCGAAGAAACCAGAGUCCUCGCCUGGAAAAUCAGCUUUGAGCAAAUUCUUCCGUCCAAAGACCAUCAAAGAGGCCCCGCAGCCAGAGGUAGAGGUUACACCAGUAAUAGAGGAAACACCAGUGGAGGUGUCUGAGCCUGUGUUAGCGGUGCAGCAGAGCGACGAUAAGCUCCAUCUUCAGGAGGAGACAGCCGAGGAAAUACUUGUAACCCUGGAGCAGGUGGUUGAAGAUGUGCAGACGAUGAUUGAAGAUGAGAAGGUGGACCCUCCCAAAGCUGGCACUGUGGAGGCUGCAACGAAACCAGAACCGCCAGCAGCGGGUCAGGAAGAGAAGAAGACUGGCUCCAAAUUAGGCUUCAAGUCCCUCUUCAAGUCCAAACUCUGGAUUGGACUGGAGCACUUUCCGGGGUGUUCCAUCCCUCCUCCCCAAGUCAAGCUCUCAUUCCAUGGUGCGUCACCAAAGACAGCGUCUCCGACCCCCCCCACCUCACCAGCAGCACCAGCAGCUCCAGUUAAACCCAAGGAUGAAACCAAGUCUGCAGACACGGCUGCUGAUAGCAAAGCUGCGGCUGGGGCUGCUUCAGCGGCCGGAGACGACGCAGCCAAGGGCCUGAAAAAAGUGGAGAAGAGGAACUCCAUCACAGGGUUCUUUAAAAACCUGGUGAAGUGAAGGUUCAGAAACAUUCAGACUCCGGGGGUCAGACGGAGUAAACGCCCGCGGAGAAAACAAAAUUAAAAAAAACCAUCGCCACCAAACCCUCAAGCUUCAACGUACUCAACUCUACAAUUCCUCUGCACUCUACACUAUAUCUGCUCGGAUCAUGAAGAAAAAAGCUAUUUAAUGUAAAAUGUAAAACUGCAAACACAAGUUUUUGAUUAGAAACGCAUGAAGAGGUAAAAAGUGUCUUCUGUUAGUUUUAUAAUACAAUAAACUGGGCUUGUGGUUGUAAACA